rnacentral:tRNA from 4 species
GCGCUUCUAGCUCAAUUGGCAGAGCAGCGGACUCUUAAUCCGCGGGUUCUGGGUUCAAGUCCCAGGGGGCGCA